rnacentral:rRNA from 1 species
CCCCAGUAACGGCGAGUGAAGCGGCAACAGCUCAAAUUUGAAAUCUGGCCUCGUGCCCGAGUUGUAAUUUGUAGAGGAUGCUUUUGGCGACGCGCCUUCCGAGUUCCCUGGAACGGGACGCCAUAGAGGGUGAGAGCCCCGUCCGGUCGUGCGCCUAGCCUCUGUAAAGCUCCUUCGACGAGUCGAGUAGUUUGGGAAUGCUGCUCUAAAUGGGAGGUAUACGUCUUCUAAAGCUAAAUACCGGCCAGAGACCGAUAGCGCACAAGUAGAGUGAUCGAAAGAUGAAAAGCACUUUGAAAAGAGGGUUAAAUAGUACGUGAAAUUGCUGAAAGGGAAGCGCUUAUGACCAGACUUGGGCGCGGCGGAUCAUCCGGCGUUCUCGCCGGUGCACUCCACCGCCCCAGGCCAGCAUCAGUUCGCGCCGGGGGAUAAAGGCUUCGGGAAUGUGGCUCUCUCGGGAGUGUUAUAGCCCGCUGCGUAAUACCCUGGCGCGGACUGAGGUCCGCGCUCUGCAAGGAUGCUGGCGUAAUGGUCAUCAGUGACCCGUCUUGAAACACGGACCAAGGAGUCGUCUUCGUAUGCGAGUGUUCGGGUGUCAAACCCCUACGCGGAAUGAAAGUGAACGUAGGAGAGAGCUUCGGCGCAUCUCCGACCGAUCCUGAUGUUCUCGGAUGGAUUUGAGUAAGAGCAUACGGGGCCGGACCCGAAAGGAGGUGAACUAUGCCUGUGUAGGGUGAAGCCAGAGGAAAC